AACGAACGCUGGCGGCAUGCCUAACACAUGCAAGUCGAACGAGACCUUCGGGUCUAGUGGCGCACGGGUGCGUAACGCGUGGGAACCUGCCCUUAGGUUCGGAAUAACUCCCCGAAAGGGGUGCUAAUACCGGAUAAUGUCUUCGGACCAAAGAUUUAUCGCCUUUGGAUGGGCCCGCGUUGGAUUAGCUAGUUGGUAGGGUAAAAGCCUACCAAGGCGACGAUCCAUAGCUGGUCUGAGAGGAUGAUCAGCCACACUGGGACUGAGACACGGCCCAGACUCCUACGGGAGGCAGCAGUGGGGAAUAGUGGACAAUGGGCGAAAGCCUGAUCCAGCAAUGCCGCGUGAGAGAUGAAGGCCUUAGGGUUGUAAAGCUCUUUUACCCGGGAUGAUAAUGACAGUACCGGGAGAAUAAGCUCCGGCUAACUCCGUG
rnacentral:rRNA from 1 species